rnacentral:rRNA from 1 species
GACGAACGCUGGCGGCGUGCCUAAUACAUGCAAGUCGAACGAGAGCGACCGGUGCUUGCACUGGUCAAUCUAGUGGCGAACGGGUGAGUAACACGUGGGUAACCUGCCCAUCAGAGGGGGAUAACAUCCGGAAACGGAUGCUAAAACCGCAUAGGUCUUCGAACCGCAUGGUUUGAAGAGGAAAAGAGGCGCAAGCUUCUGCUGAUGGAUGGACCCGCGGUGCAUUAGCUAGUUGGUGAGGUAACGGCUCACCAAGGCCGUGAUGCAUAGCCGACCUGAGAGGGUGAUCGGCCACAUUGGGACUGAGACACGGCCCAAACUCCUACGGGAGGCAGCAGUAGGGAAUCUUCCGCAAUGGACGCAAGUCUGACGGAGCAACGCCGCGUGAGUGAAGAAGGUUUUCGGAUCGUAAAACUCUGUUGUUAGAGAAGAACAAGUGCUAGAGUAACUGUUAGCGCCUUGACGGUAUCCAACCAGAAAGCCACGGCUAACUACGUG